UACGGAGGGGGCUAGCGUUGUUCGGAAUUACUGGGCGUAAAGCGCACGUAGGCGGCUUUGUAAGUUAGAGGUGAAAGCCCGGGGCUCAACUCCGGAAUUGCCUUUAAGACUGCAUCGCUAGAAUUGUGGAGAGGUAAGUGGAAUUCCGAGUGUAGAGGUGAAAUUCGUAGAUAUUCGCAAGAACACCAGUGGCGAAGGCGACUCACUGGACACAUAUUGACGCUGAGGUGCGAAAGCGUGGGGAGCAAACAGG
rnacentral:rRNA from 1 species